AAUUAAAUUGAUAGAUCAGUAUAUCACUUGUAAUAAAUAAUCUAUGGUAUACAAUAAUAUACCUAAACCAUUUUAAUGUACUAAUAUAUCAAUGUUAAUAAUUUGAUUCUUACCCUUUUUUCCCUUUUGUCCAUUAAUCCAGGUUAGCAGACCGAGAUGUUAUACGUUAUAGGUCUUGGAUCGGGGGAUGAGAGAGACAUUACUCUAAGAGGUUUAGAUGCGGUGAAGAAAUGUGAGAAGGUGUACAUUGAGGCCAUACAUCUCUUCUAUCCUUUGGUCUUUCUACAGAUGGCCUUUCUACUCUAUACUACAAAUAUUCUUUCUAUUCCUGAUAACUUUGCUAUCUUUCAAUUCUUGGGAUUUUCAUUUGUGCUAGAAUUUUUAAAAUUGUUAGGAGAAAUUGUAUGGGAAACCUAUUAUACUUGCAGAUAGAGAAAUGGUUGAAGAAAAAGUAGACAAUCUUCUGUUAGAAGCUGGUGGGUCUGAUGUAGCUUUCCUUGUUGUUGGCGAUCCUUUUGGGAUGAAGCUGUAUUUAAUUGAAGAAAGGAUUGAGCCUGGUUGAACCUGGUUUGUGGGAAUAUAAUCAUGGUUCUUUUCUUUCCUUGGAGAUUCUAUGUGUGUUGAGCUUCUAUUACAUAGCAACAACACACUGAUCUUGUUGUUCGAGCAAAGACAUUGGGGGUUGAUGUCAAGGUAGUGCGCAAUGCAUCUGUGAUGAAUGCAAUUGGAAUUUGUGGAUUGCAACUUUACCAUUAUGGGGAGACAGUUUCAAUACCUUUUUUUACCGAAACAUGGAGGCCUGAUAGCUUUUAUGAGAAAAUUCAAAGAAAUCACAAUCUUGGAUAGCACACACUUUGUCUUUUAGGGGAAGAAAGCUGUAUGAAACACCUAGGUACAUGACAAUAAACACCGCCAUUGAGCAGCUCUUGGAGGUUGAGCAAAAUUAUGGUGAAUCUGUGCAUGAUGAAGACAC